AGAGUUUGAUCCUGGCUCAGAGCGAACGCUGGCGGCAGCCUAACACAUGCAAGUCGAGCGCCCCGCAAGGGGAGCGGCGGACGGGUGAGUAACACGUGGGAACGUGCCCUUCGGUUCGGGAUAACUCAGGGAAACUUGAGCUAACACCGGAUACGCCCUUCGGGGGAAAGGUUACGCCGUUGGAGCGGCCCGCGUCGGAUUAGCUUGUUGGUGGGGUAAUGGCCCACCAAGGCGACGAUCCGUAGCUGGUCUGAGAGGAUGAUCAGCCACACUGGGACUGAGACACGGCCCAGACUCCUACGGGAGGCAGCAGUGGGGAAUCUUGCGCAAUGGGCGAAAGCCUGACGCAGCCAUGCCGCGUGAAUGAUGAAGGUCUUAGGAUUGUAAAAUUCUUUCAGCGGGGACGAUAAUGACGGUACCCGCAGAAGAAGCCCCGGCUAACUUCGUGCCAGCAGCCGCGGUAAUACGAAGGGGGCUAGCGUUGCUCGGAUUUACUGGGCGUAAAGGGCGCGUAGGCGGAUCGACAAGUUGGGGGUGAAAUCCCGGGGCUUAACCUCGGAACUGCCUCCAAAACUGUAGGUCUUGAGUACGGGAGAGGUGUGUGGAACUCCGAGUGUAGAGGUGAAAUUCGUAGAUAUUCGGAAGAACACCAGUGGCGAAGGCGACACACUGGCCCGUUACUGACGCUGAGGCGCGAAAGCGUGGGGAGCAAACAGGAUUAGAUACCCUAGUAGUCC
rnacentral:rRNA from 1 species